rnacentral:rRNA from 1 species
GCCGAAAGCCAUGUCACCCUGCAGCCCAAGACCGGUUACUCACUGAAGCUAAGCAGGGCUGAGCCUGGUCAGUACCUGGAUGGGAGACCACUAGGGAACACUAGGUUGCUGUUGGAA